UACCAGCACCCCGAGUGGUCGGGACGAUUAUUGGGCCUAAAGCAUCCGUAGCCGGCCUUACAAGUCCUCCGUUAAAUCCAGCUGCUUAACAGAUGGGCUGCGGAGGAUACUAUAAGACUAGGAGGCAGGAGAGGCAAGCGGUACUCAGUGGGUAGGGGUAAAAUCCGUUGAUCCAUUGAAGACCACCAGUGGCGAAGGCGGCUUGCCAGAAUGCGCUCGACGGUGAGGGAUGAAAGCUGGGGGGAGCAAACCGA
rnacentral:rRNA from 1 species